UACGAAGGGGGCUAGCGUUGUCCGGAUUUAUUGGGCGUAAAGAGCGUGUAGGCGGCCAGGUAGGUCAGCUGUGAAAACUCGAGGCUCAACCUCGAGACGUCGGUUGAAACCACCUGGCUAGAGUCCGGAAGAGGAGAGUGGAAUUCCUGGUGUAGCGGUGAAAUGCGCAGAUAUCAGGAAGAACACCGGUGGCGAAGGCGGGUCUCUGGGCCGGAACUGACGCUAAGGAGCGAAAGCGUGGGGAGCGAACAGG
rnacentral:rRNA from 1 species